rnacentral:rRNA from 1 species
AAUGAACGCUGGCGGCAUGCCUAAUACAUGCAAGUCGAGCGGAAACACGAGUUGCUUUCUCGUCUGACGUUAGCCGCGGACGGGUUACUAACACGCGUAUCACCUCCCUGUAGGUCACGGAUCACUUGGUGAACCCAGAGCUCAUACCGGCUAAUAUUUUAAACCGCGUGGUUCAAUAGUUUAAGACGGCUGUGCUGUCGCUUGUAGAUGGAUCCGCGCCGCAUUAGCUAGUUGGCAAGGUAACGGCUUACCAAGUCAACGAUGCGUAGCCGACCUGAGAGGGUGAUCGGCCACACUGGAACUGAGACACGGCCCAGACUCCUACGGGAGGCAGCAGUAGGGAAUCUUCCGCAAUGGGCGAAAGCCUGACGGAGCCACGCCGCGUGAGUGAUGAAGGUCUUCGGAUUGUAAAACGCUGUUAUAAGGGAAGAACAGACGUGUACUUAAAUAGGCGCGUCUUGACGGUACCGAAUCAGAAAGCACCGGCUAACUACGUG